CACAAAGGCCCGAGGCCCGGGCCGCACUCACCGAAGUCCAGGAACUGCUUCAUGGAAAGCGGGGACGGCGAGAAGCGCGCGUAGAAGUCCACCUGGCCCGGAACGCCGCUCUCAGGCGCCGGCCCCGAGCCCGAGUCGGAGCCUCAGCAAAACGCUCAAGGACUGGGCCGCGCUCCGCUUCCCACAACGGUGUGCUGCUGCGAGACCGAGCGCGUUCCAGAAACUCUCCACUGUGAUGCAAGCCCCACAUUUUACAGGUGAAGAAGCCAAGACCCAGAUUGCUUAAAGAUCUGACCUUUGCCAAGCAGUGAUACAAAAAUGCGAAUGGACACGGGGGAAUGUAUCCCUAAAUAUUAUCAGCUGCUGCAGACCCAGAUGAUUAUUGGCAGCCCAACUUGAAGCUUUACGUGCAGGUUUUCUAGGCAAGGUCAGCAACGUACUGAAAGGGUCCCUCGCCUUGAUUGACUUUAACUGUGUUCUCAGCGUCACAGUUUGGCCGUUCCAUCCCUUCCUCUUCUCCAAUUUCCUCGACUAAUGAUGGGGUACCUCUGGAUCUGAGAGAAACAGCCAGCAAGAGAGGGAACACAAGCAGGGGGAGUGGGAGAGGAAGAAGCAGGCUUCCAGCAGAGGAGCCUGAUGUGGGACUUGAUCCCGGAACACCGGGAUCACGCCCUGAGCCAAAGGCAGACGCCUAACGACUGCGUUACCCAGGCGUCCCGAGGUAUCUCAUGUUCUAAAUAGAUAACAAUUGCAUGUACUCACUGAUGUUUAGAUUUGGAGGUUUUAUGGCUUUGUUCAGCUACUGCCUUUAAGUGAAUUAAAGAGUUAUAAAAGCUCCCUACUCGGUUUGAUUACAGAGCAAAAGGUCAUCAGCAUAUUGCACUAGGGUGGAAGCUUGGGUAAGAGUUAUAGAGUCCGGUUUGGCUUGAAGGACUUGGGGAAAUAUUGAGAGAGACUCAUUGGUAGCCUUGUGGACUGUGAGUCCGUGGCAGCUGUCUCCCAUUAAAUGGAAAUAGAAAAAGAAAUUGUGAGUCUGGGUGGGAUUGAAAAGAAAGCUGAGGAAGGUGCCAAGGAAUCACAAAAAAGUUUAUUUUUGUCCCUUAGGUCCUUUACAAAUCAAUAAAUUUGGUUUCCCUCUGAGUCAACCUUUGCCUUCUUUCUCCACUGGCAAGAUUGAAGUGUACAGGUGAGGUAAUAAAGACAAGGACGUCCCGUUUUAAGAGAGCACCUAUUAUGCCUGCGUUAAGAGAGCACCUAUUAUGCCUGCGUGGCUUUUGAUUUCAACUCAGGUCACGAUUUCGGGGUUGUGGGAUCAAACUCCAUGUCAGGCUCCAUGCUCAGCACAGGCUCUGAGAUUCUCUCCCUCUGCACCCCCCACCUCAUGCUCCUGCGUUUGCACUCAUGCUCACGUGCUCUCUCUCUUUCUCUAAUAAAUAAAUCUUUAAAAAAAGAGGGCCUGGGGCACCUAGGUGGCUCAGUCAGUUAAGCGUCUGCCUUUGG